ACUUAAAAAACCUCCAGCCAAAAAAUAAAACCGUACUUUGUUUUAAUACCGACACCAACAUUCGUCUCCUUAAUAAAUUUUAUGUAACUGAAAAGAAACGUUCCUCACCAAAACCUACCGCUUCUUCUCCUCUUCUUUCCCUUUUCCAUUUCUCUGUUCCAUCGAAUUGUCUUUUUCCUAUUCCCAUAUUCUGAUUAUGUUUGCACACUUGAUUAUUUGGAUUUAGGGUAUAACGUGGCCUUUCCCUGAAAACUUUUGCUUUGGGGGAUUUCUUUAUUUCCAGGUUCUUUUUUCCCCUUUGGGUUCUAACUAUUGCUUUGUACCAUCAAGCAUCCAUUCUCUCCUCAACAAUUAGAUGUGGAGGAGUGCUCUUCUGAGCAUUGGGAUGGACAUAGCGUAACGCUACCAAAAGGACACGUUUCGGGUCUCUUGAGGAGGGUUUCUCUGCCAACUUGGGGUCUAAAAUGCCAUCGUGUUUCAAGUGACAAGUGGAUACUUCUUAGUACACUCUAAUACAUGUUGUUGGAUAUACCAUUGUUCUGUUUAUCCACUCCUUUAAUACAUGCCAGAAACCUCUUCAUGUUGAACGUUACUUAGAUUCCACUGGAAAUUUCCACACCUUGAGGGAAUGGGAAACUGAAUUUUGGGAGUACCUUCCGGUUUGAAACCAUUAUUUUAAGCGAACCAACUAGAGUUAUCUGUGAGUCCGAUCCACUAAGCAGAGUCAGAAGGAGGUUUCUUGAAACAAGAAUCCAGCAUGACAAUAUGUGACAAACCUCUUCAGGAGGUCGGCUGUAAUCCAGCGGAUUCCGUCUAGUAAUGAUCUCCAUAAUAAGAUUUUCAAAACUAUAGGCAUCACUUUUUUCACUCAACAUGUUAGUGCUACCAUAUUCUGGGGCAACAUAAUUGAUAGAAAGGGGGAAAUUUGCAAUUUUCUUUCCACGAGCAACUUAAUAUUCUUCCUGAUUGCAAUUUAUCUAUUCAAAUCUGUCUGCUUAGUUGAAUCAUUUUUGCAUUGAACUCCUCUUCCAAGUUUUAACAAUUUCUCUCUACGAUCAAGUCUCGGUUCUCUCAAAAAUUGUGAGCAAAGCUAAUCUCAUACACUUGUGCUUUCUGAUUUCAACGGGUCUUUUUAGAUUUGUUAAAUUAUUUUGGUGAAAUGCUUCACUUUUGUGUUAUUAUCUGGUUGAAUAAUUCACUAUUUCCUUUUGUAUUCUAAUUAUUUAUGGUUUUGUAGUAGAGAUGUGGACGAGCGCAAAAUAAGGGCCUACAAAGGUCAUUCUUGAAACUUUCGACGGUUCAAUUAUACAUGAGCUUGAUUGGAGAGGGCCUACAGAGAUGUGAUCAAGGUUAGAACAAGGGCCUGUAACGGUCACUCUUGAAACUCCAUUGGUUCAUUAAACUUUAGGUAUAUAUUCUUCUGCUUUUUAUUUUAGUUAUUUUGGCUUUUCUGGGUAACGAGGGACAAAAUGAUAUUCUUACUUUUAGAGUAGAUGUAUCACAAGUAUGUGCCAAUAACUUGCCAUGAUUACAUAGAGCUUGCUUUGAGAGGGUAUUAUGAUAAUGUCUGUCAUUAAGAUUUUUUUUCCUUAUCCAUUCCCUUUGUUGAUUAUAGAUGACUUGGGAUCUUAACUUAUACUCUUUCUUAUUUGAUUUAACCGUAAGAUUUUAUUGUUCACAUUGGAGGUCCAACUGGUAUUGGAAGAGCUGGAGAAUCUAUUUAUGGUAUUUAGAGGCCUAAUGACUUUGUGGCUACUUUUAUAGCACCAGUUAAGAAUUCCAAGUAGAUACCCCUGUUACUAAGUUUCUUAGCAAUUCAUGUCCUUUGAGAUGACUUAAGCUAGAGUGUAUUACAAUUUUGUUUUGGAAUGUUUCUUCUGUUGCAGGUCUUCAAUGAAAGACGUAAGAACUGUCAGAAAAUGAAAUAUUGAUGUUCAAAUAUUCACAAUCUAUAAUGUUAGCUUCUUUCAGAAAAUUUCUAAAAGUUUUUACUCUAAAGGGUGUGGAUAGUGGGAUCAAUCUCUCAUUCCUACUACUUAUCCCUUUCAAAGUGUGAGGAAGAUAUCAGUGGAGUAGAGCUUAAGAAAGAAUUUAGCAAUUUGAUCCUAAAUGUAUCGAGUAUUAUCUCGAAUUCUCGAUUAUGGAAAAUCCUUUGGCUCUCUGUUAUAUCUUCAUUGUUUUGCACUUUCACCUAUGAUUGUGUUUUUCCGUCUUGUGUUUAGUACUAUAGCUAAUGACACGAAGACGUAGGAACUUUGUUUCUUUAAUGUUAAUGUAUCUCCUAUUAAUAAAGUUUUUUCUUAUUAAGUAGAUUAUCAUUUCGAAAAAUUUACUCAAAUUUUGAUGCUAGAGUAGAAUUAAGUCAUCCAACGAUCCAGUAAGAGAUCGAUGUUAGUAUUAAUCCUUAUUAUAUUUUCAUAUGUGAAUUUAGUCAAGGAGGUUUCUUUCCCCCUCCCCCUCUUUCCCUUUCUCUCGGACAAGUUUGUGUACAAUUAUACUUAAUUUAUUGGUGCCUUGAUGUUAGCAAGUAUGCCAAAAACUCUAUGAGAAGGUAUUGUGUUUAGCGAAUGAGUCUGUUUAAUUAUAGAUCUAUAUUAGAGCAACAACUCCUAAAGUUAAAGUGAUAAUUGUCUCUUAGUAAAAAAAAAAAAAAAAAGUGGUAAUUGUCUCUUAGUAGGAAAAAAAAGAAGUGGUAAUUGUCUAGAUAUUAAAUUCUGUUUGAAGCAUAUGUUAUUCUUUUCCUGAAGUUGGUUGCUAUUUUAUGUAGGGGAGUCUUAAGUGUGUGUAAAGAGCAUGGGCGUCACAAGACUUUAAAUAUGAUCCCUAUUUGGCAAACUGUUUCACCAAUUAAGAUAUAUUAUGAACACUAUGAUGCAACACAACAGGAAAAGUUCAAUAAAAUUUUGAUGUAAACCUUCGGAAAAAUGAAAUAGCAAAAGGUGAAAUAUAAUUCUAAGAAAAUAAAAAAGAGAUUGGAAAGUUACCAGAAAAA